rnacentral:rRNA from 1 species
GACGAACGCUGGCGGCGUGCUUAACACAUGCAAGUCGAGCGGUAAGGCCCUUCGGGGUACACGAGCGGCGAACGGGUGAGUAACACGUGAGCAAUCUGCCCAUCACUUUGGGAUAACUGCGGGAAACCGCAGCUAAUACCGAAUACGACCACCUCCGGCAUCGGAUGGUGGUGGAAAGUUCCGGCGGUGAUGGAUGAGCUCGCGGCCUAUCAGCUUGUUGGUGGGGUAAUGGCCCACCAAGGCAACGACGGGUAGCCGGCCUGAGAGGGUGACCGGCCACACUGGGACUGAGACACGGCCCAGACUCCUACGGGAGGCAGCAGUGGGGAAUAUUGGACAAUGGGCGAAAGCCUGAUCCAGCAACGCCGCGUGAGGGAUGACGGCCUUCGGGUUGUAAACCUCUUUCAGCAGGGACGAAGCGAAAGUGACGGUACCUGCAGAAGAAGCACCGGCCAACUACGUGCCAGCAGCCGCCGUAACAC